rnacentral:rRNA from 1 species
UUGUUCGAAAAGCGUGGCAUUGCUGGUUGUAAAGGCUGUUCAUGUGACCAGUCGGCGAUCGGUUUGUCUGCUGUGGCGUUAAUGGAGGAGUGUUCGAUUCGCGGUAUGGUUGGCUUCGGCUGAACAGACGCUUAUUGGUCAUUCUUCUUGCUGUGGCGGUAUAACUGAUGAACCGUAGUCGUGUGUGACUUACCUUUUGAAUCGGCGUUGCUGUGCGAAGUAGAGUGACAGUUUCGGCUGUCGAGGGUCGACCCAUUUGGGAAAUUGUGCGGUGCGGCUUCGGUCGCGCGGCAUCUCAAUUGGCCCUGAUAUCAGGCAAGAUUACCCGCUGAACUUAAGCAUAUCGAUAAGCGGAGGA